rnacentral:lncRNA from 1 species
CUUCUUGAUCAGAAGUCCCGUCAGCUAAAGAGACAAGACAUCUGCUUCCUCAUACAACACCGAGACAGAGCAUCAGACCAUCAGAACUCAGCAGAGGCCGGGCUGCCAUGUCAGAAUCUAGCGGGGACCUUUCUGUAGCAGCCUAGUGCCGAGCACAGCUGUGAUCACAGGUGACCUGGGUUCAAAUCCAGAUCUAGCACUGAUCUGAUGGUCAGUAUUGAAUAUGUUAUCCACUGCUUGGGGUCGUCAUUCCCUAUUCUUCAAGAUGGGAAGAAUAAUCUCUACUUCAUAGAGAAUUUUUGAGCUUUAAAUGAGGUCCAAAACAACUACAAUAUUGUAGAGUAAUUAGCCUACAAUUAAAAUGAACAAAUUUACAAAAAUUAAAAAAAAACAUUAAAAAAAAAAUGAGGUCCAGAAACAGUCCAGCAAAGUUCCUAACAUAUAUUAGGUCUUCAGUAAAGGAGAGUUGAAUUUGAAACUGGAUAUAUGCAAAUAAAUGGGGCAUCAUGAUAUUUAUUUCACAGAGUGAAUGCAGGACUCAAAAUAUAUAAAAGGGAAGUUGAGAGCUGUACCAUUUUAUGCAAGGAAAAUGUGUGUGUGUUUCCUUUGUUAAACGCCCACUGGCUGCUCCCUAGUCAAAGCCCCAACAUCAGCAAGGUGUGGUCCCCUCCGUCCUGGGGCUGGUGACAGUUUGAUCUCUGAGGCAGAGGGGACAGAAGGGAGCUGCUGCUCGGAUUUUAGCUAAAAGUCAUUUGACUUUUUUGUGUGUGCUUGCCUUUGCCCUGAAAUCACCAUAUUUCAUCCCCAUGGGAUCACACUUGAAUCUUAUAAUCUAGUUCUUUUUUUUGUGGGGGAGGGUGGGCUAAGUGAGAUUUCUGGAGCAAAUGAGCCCCAGUCUAGACUGGGGCCACAAGGUCAGAGUAGCAAGAUGGGUACAUGGUCUCUGCUUUUGAUAAAUAAUCCUGGAACAGAUGAAUAUGGAAUUAGAAGUCUGAAGAUCAAGGUUCAAAUCCUGGCACUGCCUCUUCUUGACUGUGUGCCGUGGGCAAGUCCCUUUAUCCUCAGGAUGUCUAGCUUUCUUAUCUGACAGAUGGGGAAACGAUCACUCCUGCUGACAGGGUUGUGUGAGAAGGUGGGUGGGGAGGGGGCACUGCAUGUAAUGGGCUCACUU